rnacentral:rRNA from 1 species
GGGUCAGUAGGUUGGUCGUGCCACCGGUACGUACUGGUCUCACUGAUUCCUCCUUCCUGAAGAACCGUAAUGCCAUUAAUUUGGUGUUGCGGGGAAACAGGACUGUUACUUUGAAAAAAUUAGAGUGUUUAAAGCAAGCUAACGCUUGAAUACAUUAGCAUGGGACAAUGAAAUAGGACGAUCGAUCCUAUUUUGUUGGUUUCUAGGAUUGACGUA